CCUACGGGAGGCAGCAGUGAGGAAUAUUGGUCAAUGGGCGUAAGCCUGAACCAGCCAAGUCGCGUGAGGGAUGAAGGUCCUAUGGAUCGUAAACCUCUUUUAUAUGGUAAUAAAGUGCUGGACGUGUCCCGUUUUGUAUGUACCUUAUGAAUAAGGAUCGGCUAACUCCGUGCCAGCAGCCGCGGUAAUACGGAGGAUCCGAGCGUUAUCCGGAUUUAUUGGGUUUAAAGGGUGCGUAGGCGGACUGUUAAGUCAGUGGUGAAAGUUUGUGGCUCAACCAUAAAAUUGCCGUUGAAACUGGGAGUCUUGAGUAUGUUUGAGGCAGGCGGAAUGCGUGGUGUAGCGGUGAAAUGCUUAGAUAUCACGAAGAACCCCGAUUGCGAAGGCAGCUUACCAAGCCAUGACUGACACUGAGGCACGAAAGCGUGGGGAUCAAACAGGAUUAGAUACCCGGGUAGUC
rnacentral:rRNA from 1 species